rnacentral:rRNA from 1 species
UUAGCGGCGGACGGGUGAGUAACGCGUGGGUAACCUGCCUUACACUGGGGGAUAACAGUUAGAAAUGACUGCUAAUACCGCAUAAGCGCACAGGGCUGCAUGGCCUGGUGUGAAAAACUCCGGUGGUGUAAGAUGGACCCGCGUCUGAUUAGGUAGUUGGUGGGGUAACGGCCCACCAAGCCGACGAUCAGUAGCCGACCUGAGAGGGUGACCGGCCACAUUGGGACUGAGACACGGCCCAA